rnacentral:lncRNA from 1 species
CUCCGUGUAUUUUCAUUACUCUUCCCUAUUUUGAUCUAUUCAUGGUGGCAUUGGAAGGACAAUCAAAAACUUCAUUUCUGUGUGUCUCUGGGUAGUUAGAUAACUUAUUUUUUUCAGCAUCCAGAAAACUGUUUCCUAGUUUCAUAGUCUUCAUAAAUGGGAAAUAUCCAUUCACACACAGUGGUUGCAGCCAUGAAAAACAUAAGAGUAAGGUUCAUGAGAUUAACAGUUCACACUACAGUCAUGUUGCAAUUCUUAGCUGCAGUAAAUGCGGUGAAGUUACUACUUUAAUUUAACCCCAGCUGCCAUUAUUUGUCUCAAAAAUGAGCAUUUCACCUCUUCCAGUCUUCCAGCAUAACCGCUUCUGUGAUGUCUCCCUAGGCGGGUUCAGGCCACUUAAUCACAAAGAUAUAUACACUUUCAAUACAGAUGUUUUCUAACUUGUCUGAAAGACAAUAAUCAUCUAAUCAAUUUAGAGGAUUAUUACAUGUGCAGGUAUGCUGGCAUAUCUGAAGGGCUGGUAAUAUUUGGAGGAAGAAGAGGCUGAUGAGUCACGUGAAGCAAGGCUGAGCAGAACGUCUGUGCUCAGAGCUUUCAGCUAAAAAAGCAAAACACAACAGCUUGGUCUAAGGCCUUAUGGCUUCUGCCAUAAGAGGACAUAAAAGCACCAGAGGUGAAAAAUAGAGGUAUGCUGACAGAUGAACUAGAAAUAACUACAAGAAAAUGCUAUCAGUUCUCCAUAUGAGCUUGAGAGAUGGAAGAAAAUGAAUGCCUACUUUCGGGUUCGAAGUCCCCCUUUGUGGGUGGCAUGUACCUUCUCCUUCUGUUGUUUCAUUAAAUAACUUACGAUGAUUCAUUAUUUUCUUUCUCAGACAUUGCCAAGGAUAAUGUUGAUGACAGUGAAAUUCUUCUGUGGAUGACUACUGUCUUACUAAAAGGCAGGAUUGAUUUCUUUGCAAAUAAAGACAGAACACAUCAAAUUAGAAGUACAAUGGAAAAACCUAAGAAGCAAAGAGACAUGACAGACCUCAGAGGCAUUACUUCAUAUUUACACUGUGGAGAAGGAUCUAUAAAGUCUCUAGUAAGAUAAAUUGCUAGUUUUUCCUAAGUACUGUGUACUGGCCUGAAAUUGUUUCAUCACUUGCUGUAGAUAAUUAAAUAAUAUUGUUUCAUUACUAGAUUCUGAAAUACAGUCCAUUAAAAAUUAAUUCACUUGCCUGUAGCAAAGAAAUCUAGUUAUGGCAUUGCACUGAAUAAAGAUUCUGGCAAUAAGUAAUUAAUUAACA